rnacentral:rRNA from 1 species
UGGGGAAUAUUGGACAAUGGGCGAAAGCCUGAUCCAGCAAUACCGCGUGUGUGAAGAAGGCCUUAGGGUUGUAAAGCACUUUCAAUUGGGAGGAAAACCUGCCGGUCAAUACCCGGUAGCUUGACAUUACCUUUAGAAGAAGCACCGGCUAACUCCGUGCCAGCAGCCGCGGUAAUACGGAGGGUGCGAGCGUUAAUCGGAAUUACUGGGCGUAAAGCGUGCGUAGGCGGUUCGUUAAGUCAGAUGUGAAAAUCUGGGGCUUAACCCCAGACCUGCAUUCGAUACGGGCGAGCUAGAGUGUGGUAGGGGAGACUGGAAUUCCGCGUGUAGCAGUGAAAUGCGUAGAGAUGUGGAGGAACACCGAUGGCGAAGGCAGCCCCCUGGGUCAACACUGACGCUCAUGCACGAAAGCGUGGGGAGCAAACAGG